rfam:Larimichthys crocea isolate SSNF unplaced genomic scaffold scaffold43, whole genome shotgun sequence.
AAAGUUUCUUAUGCCACGGCCAUGGAUUGGUUUAUUGCCGUCUGCUUUGCCUUC